rnacentral:rRNA from 1 species
GACGAACGCUGGCGGCGUGCUUAACACAUGCAAGUCGAACGGUGAAGCGCCUUCCUUUUUGGUGAGUGUGGAUGAGUGGCGAACGGGUGAGUAACACGUGAGUAACCUGCCCCCUUCUUCUGGAUAACCGCAUGAAAGUGUGGCUAAUACGGGAUAUUCUGGGUCUGUCGCAUGAUGGGUCUGGGAAAGAUAUUGUUUCGGUGGGGGAUGGGCUCGCGGCCUAUCAGCUUGUUGGUGGGGUGAUGGCCUACCAAGGCGGUGACGGGUAGCCGGCCUGAGAGGGUGGACGGUCACACUGGGACUGAGACACGGCCCAGACUCCUACGGGAGGCAGCAGUGGGGAAUAUUGCACAAUGGGCGCAAGCCUGAUGCAGCGACGCCGCGUGAGGGAUGGAGGCCUGCGGGUUGUGAACCUCUUUCGCCAGUGAAGCAGGCCUGCCUCGUUUGUGGGUGGGUUGACGGUAGCUGGAUAAGAAGCGCCGGCUAACUACGUG